GUACGUGAAUAUAGUGUUAAUGCACCAGAUCCCAUUAGAACACUGUAGUUAAGCACACUUGGGCUAGAGUAAUACUGGGAUGGGUGACCUCCCAAGAAGUCUUAGUGUUUUACAUGCC
rfam:Picea glauca, whole genome shotgun sequence.